AACACAAAUCCCAACCUGGAAACAGAGGAAAAACAACUGAAAAUCAAACAUUGUAAAGGAAGGUUAGGAGAGAGUCAUGAGUUGGUGUUGUGAGUACCCAGACUGGAAUGAGGAAGAGAGAGGAAGUCAUGAGUAGGUGUUGUGUUGUGAGUACCCAGACUGGAAUGAGGAAGAGAGAGGAAGUCAUGAGUAGGUGUUGUGAGUACCCAGACUGGAAUGAGGAAGAGAGAGGAAGUCAUGAGUAGGUGUUGUGUUGUGAGUACCCAGACUGGAAUGAGGAAGAGAGAGGAAGUCAUGAGUAGGUGUUGUGUUGUGAGUACCCAGACUGGAAUGAGGAAGAGAGAGGAAGUCAUGAGUAGGUGUUGUGUUGUGAGUACCCAGACUGGAAUGAGGAAGAGAAAGGAAGUCAUGAGUAGGUGUUGUGUUGUGAGUACCCAGACUGGAAUGAGGAAGAAAGUUGACUACAACAAAGCAACUGAAACAGUGGCCAACCAGUUCCUUAAGUUAAAUAACACACCGAGACAGAGACGGUACACACAGGACAGGCCAACUCAUUCACACAGGUCUCGUCUUGAUCCUUCUCU